UGCAGAGGGGGCAAGCGUUGUUCGGAUUUACUGGGCGUACAGGGAGCGUAGGCGGUUGGAUAAGCCCUCCGUGAAAUCUCCAGGCUUAACCUGGAAAGUGCAGAGGGGACUGUUCAGCUAGAGGAUGGGAGAGGAGCGCGGAAUUCCCGGUGUAGCGGUGAAAUGCGUAGAGAUCGGGAGGAAGGCCGGUGGCGAAGGCGGCGCUCUGGAACAUUUCUGACGCUGAGGCUCGAAAGCGUGGGGAGCAAACAGG
rnacentral:rRNA from 1 species